rnacentral:rRNA from 1 species
GACGAACGCUGGCGGCGUGCUUAACACAUGCAAGUCGAGCGGUAAGGCCCUUUCGGGGGUACACGAGCGGCGAACGGGUGAGUAACACGUGGGUGACCUGCCCUUAGCUCUGGGAUAAGCCUGGGAAACUGGGUCUAAUACCGGAUAUGACUCCAUGACGCAUGUUGUGGGGUGGAAAGCCUUGUGCGGCUAGGGAUGGGCCUGCGGCCUAUCAGCUUGUUGGUGGGGUGAUGGCCUACCAAGGCGACGACGGGUAGCCGGCCUGAGAGGGCGACCGGCCACACUGGGACUGAGACACGGGCCCAGACUCCUACGGGAGGCAGCAGUGGGGAAUCUUGCGCAAUGGGCGAAAGCCCGACGCAGCGAC